AAGACUAUACUUUCAGGGAUCAUUUCUACAGUUUCUGACUAGGAAAUGAGUUUCGAAAGUGUUGCGUCUCCCCAGCCACGAUGACGAGGCGCGGCACGCCCUUCUGAGCGCGAAUCGGGUGCAAUUCGAGGUCGUUUGUCCUUGUUUAGCAUCAUUGAUGACCGUUCUGCUUGUCCCAGCCGGCGGGCAGAGGAAGAGUGUGCGAUCAGAGUGGU